GGGGCCUUAGCUCAGCUGGGAGAGCGUCGCGUUCGCAAUGCGAAGGUCGGGAGUUCGAUCCUCCUCCGCUCCACCA
rnacentral:tRNA from 1 species